rnacentral:rRNA from 1 species
UGCGCAGGCGGGCUAAUAAGUCAGUGGUGAAAUCUUUCGGCUUAACCGGGAAACUGCCAUUGAUACUGUUAGUCUUGAGUUCGGUUGAGGUAGGCGGAAUGUGUAAUGUAGCGGUGAAAUGCUUAGAUAUUACACAGAACACCAAUUGCGUAGGCAGCUUACUAGACCGACGCCGACGCUGAGGCACGAAGCCCUGGGGCACAAACCGGAUUAGAUACCCGAGUAGUCC